UUCGGCACUGCAAACGGAGUCCUCGGGCGUUCGGGAAGGUUCCGCCUCGGUGAUCUCGAUGUCCUGGUGAUGCUUGUUGCUGCGGUGUUUGGCACUAAGAGCCUGUGAAAUUGGGAUACACCUUAGUUACCUUUUACUCUCUAUCAUCCAAGAAACUCUAGUUAUUUGUAUAUGUUUCGUGUGCAAUCUGUUUUGGAUUAGACAUGAAGUGCUAUCUAUGGACGGACACAUGCACACACGCAGACACACAAAUUGGGUUUGGUUUUUGGGUUUUUAUCGGGGGACUUGUGUCUAAGUUUAUAGACAAACGUGCGAGAAGUUCUUUUAGUAUCUUUUAGAGUUUAGUUUACAGUCACAACACAGAUAUUAUUUAUAGGGGUUAGAUUUUAGGAAUUCUAGUAUGCGGCCGUCAGUUCUUACCUUAUCCUUGCUGCCCUUUUUCUACAUUCAACAUUGGUGGUUAAUGUUUUGUUUGGUUUGGUUGUGGUGGGAUUCGAUUAUAUUGUACAUAGCCAUGACAAAAACAAUGAUAUUUAUAGAUGUAUUAAUAUUAGUGGCAAACAAUUCACAUUGGGUGAGCAAUAGAAAUAGAUAGCCGGAAACGGAAGCGGAAAGAGAGACUGGAUAGAGAAAGAUCUAGGGAGCUCGGGAUGGGCAGCAUAAGGUUUGGUUUCGGUUUGAAGAAAUACAGCUAUGUCGAUCUGAGAAACAGAGUCCUACAGCCCGGUCCCCCAAAAUGGCUUCGGUGAUGUCAUGUACAGUGAGCACUAUGGCUGGUGGACUGACCACACUGCUACACCGGAUGAGGUGACCGCGACUCACCUGCAGGGAGAAGCGACGGUGACCCGCCUUCCGUCCGCCACGUCGCUUACUGAUGUGCGGAUUGUCCUGCCUCAGAGUCUUGUUUUUCAUAAUCUCCAGUUGAGUGUACAGUCUGCAAUCAUCAAGGCUCCCGGAACUUAUGAUCUCUUCAUACGUACCUUUUAAGUUCGGCGCGUAUGUCCUCGGGACUCAUUUCGGAUAUGGUCAGCUCCCCGAUGUCCGGAUCGCCCAGACAGAGCCCGGCAUAUCCUCCGCCCAGCCGCUGGCCGGCGUCGUGCGACGUACCCUUGAAAGCAUCCACAGGUAAACGUAUUGAUAGAUCAUACGCUAGCGAACGAACCUGCAAGCUAUGAAGAUGCAACAAACACCGCAAACCACACUCAGGAAGUAAAACGGAAAAUGGAGAACGGAAACGGAAAUGGAAAUGGAACUCAGGGUAAAAGAGAGCGAAAACAGAACAGAAUAGAAUAGAAUAGUCCUGUGCUGGAGGUCAUGUAUUUAUGUAUAUUUAUGUAUGUGGAAUGGCUGGUGCUUAUUGGUUGUGAGUAUGUCUGUUUUUGUGCUGGAAAUGAAAAGUUAAACAAAAUAAUCAAAAAAGAAACUCAAACGUUGAAAAAGAUGGACGUUAGCUAUAAGAAAACUACUUAGACAGAGAAUUUCAGUUAAAGAUUAUUCGGUUGAGAGACACAAAGACAGAGAUAGUUGCAGUGAGGAGAAUUUUGGAAACACUAGAUUGGAUUUCUCUUGGUAUGCAUAUUUUGGAUUUUGUAGGAAACCGAUUUUUGUCAUUUGUUUUUAUAGUUGAUGUUGUGUUGGAAAAAUCAUGCAAAAAACAAUGCAAACCUUGCAAAUAAAAUAGCGUGCUAGUUAAGUUAAAGUGUAAUAGUUUCAAGCAUAAAGAAUAGGAGCUAAAAACAGACUAGCAUUCGGAGACAAAACGAGACACACUUGCAGCAACUUCAUAGCUUGACUAAAGUUUCAAUUCAAUGUUAGCUUAAUUCUAAAAUUAUGUUAAUUUUCUCGAUGAAACCAGAACAGUAACUAAAAAUAACUAUAACCAACUGAAAAAUUCAAUUAUUUUAGCAAAAGCAAAAAAGCUUUUGGUUGGGUUUCCCCUUUUAUAGUUUUUUAAUUGUAGUGGCUAGUUAUUAACAAAAAUCGUUUCCUCAACCAAUGUGAAUACCAAAUACGGAUUUCGAUGACAAUUAUGACGUCCACGCCACCGACAGACAGCACAAAGUGAACGGUAAUGAAUACUCUAAGCAUAUAUAUUUAAAGCCCGUCUAGGACUCAACGGCUCCCAACUAAAUCACAAUGUGUUCAACUAAAGAGCGCACUCAAAACCAAGGAAAUCAAAGGAAAAUAAGUAAAUUAAAAUGCUGCGAACUAAUGUCGGUUACCUGCUUGUGCUGAUACCACAGCUUUGGCACAAAUAUCAGACCCAAGGCGAAGCUGUUCGUCAGCUGGGAGCGGAUGAAGAGGGCCAGCAGAAUGGCGCUGGGACUCAUUUCCGGCAGGUAGACAAAGCGCAGAAAGUAGAAGCUGGACGAGACCAGGAACUCCAGCGUCAGGGCGGUCACCAGAAAUUGCCGUUCCUGUGCGGGGGCGAAAGGAAAUAGUCGGUUAAUUCAUUUUAAUGCCGUUUGCUUACACUUGUAAAGAAGUAAAUCUUACCCGGAACUGGGUGUUGGCAUUCCGACUGGCGAUGGACAGGUGCAGCCCGAAGCACAGGAUGAGCAUCUCGCUGGUCUGCGUGACCAGCUCCCACUUGAGCGGGUGGCAGGUG